rnacentral:lncRNA from 1 species
CCACUAAGAAAGAAUCCCAAUGAUGAUAUUGGGACCUUCUGAGCUGUGCUGUAGUAUAUCAAAUAUUUUCAUCUAGAUUCAUUUUUCCAAGGUUUAUUGGGUUGAAGGGUGUACAGUUAUAACAGAACUUUGAAAAAUUAAUCAAGGUCUAUGGGGUUGAAGUAUGUACAGUUAUAACAGACCUUUGAAAAAUGAAUCAAGGUUUAUUGGGUUGUAGGAUGCACAGUUACAUGUAUAACAGACCUUGGAAAAAUGAAUCAAGGUCUAUUGGGUUGAAGGGUGUACAGUUAUAACAGACCUUGGAAAAAUGAAUCAAGGUCUAUUGGGUUGAAGGAUGCACAGUUAUAACAGACCUUGGAAAAUUAUCCAAGGUCCUUUGGGUUGUAGGAUUAAAGCUUUUAAAUUCAAUAUUUUUUAAAUCAAAGCCUUAAAAAAUAUUGAGUUUCUAUUGAAAUCAUCAUUUCUUAUAACAAAAAGUGGAAUUGGA